AGCUAACCUUCUCCAAACAAAGCUGAAGUGAACCUCUUCAGAUCAAAUCCCGAUUUGACUCUGUGUCCUGCCAAGAGGAUUUGAAAUCUAUCUCCUUCACUAGGUUGAUUAUUGCCAGUUUCUGCUCUGCAGCUGUCUCCAUCCUUUACGGGCAGCAUUAAAUCGGACUCAUUACCUGAGUGCUGUGCGACGCACCAGCAGCACUUUACCUGCGUGAGAGAGCGCAGGCCUGGCAGGAUUAGCCCUCCAUGGGCUUUCUGUGGAGACCCAUUAUUACCUUCAGAAUGGUUCCUGGGUAAUUCGAGGCUUUUAACAAUAGCAAAAAGAAAAGCAAACAACUGGAAGCAAACUGCUAGAAUCCAACUGCAGCACUUAGCAAAAGUAAGUUCCUAUUUUAAAAAGAAGUGGCUGCUUCUCUGAAUAUUACCCCCAACAACUUCCUUACGCUCCCUUAGAAACAUUACACUUAACUGGGCCAUGAAGUCAUCUCCUCUAUGGCUUCUUCCGCAUUGUACAUUUAAAGCACUGUUAUACCACUGUCCUGGCUUCCCUCAAAAAAAUCCUGGGGAGUUUAGUUUGUGAUGCGUGCCAAGCUUCGUUAGGAGAUCCCCUGUUCCUCUCACAGAACUACAAUUCUCAGAGUAGCUUAACAGUCAAUCCAUAGCUGUCAAUUUACAGAUUUGAAAAUAAGGGACCAGCAGCCUUGAAAAUAAGGGAUCAGCAGCCAAAAUAAGGGAUUUUGCUUAGCUGAUACAUAAAUCUGCCACUGAUGGAGCCAUGCUGCUUUUGCUUCCACUGACUAUGUUUUGCAGGGGGUUGGACUAGAUGAUCCUAAGGGUCUACAACUCCGACCAAAGAAGAGGGGCAGACAAAACUGAUGAACGACGUUGAGACGGCAAAGCUUACAGGCAGAAUUAGAAACCGAGAAGAGGACCUCUUUAAUAAAGAAUGGGGAAAGUUUAUAAUUUAGUUGAAAAGCUAUUGUAAAGAGUUACAUACAUUGGUAGGAUUGACAGAAAACUGGGACAUCAUCAAUCCGGG